UACGUAGGGUGCAAGCGUUGUCCGGAAUUAUUGGGCGUAAAGAGCUCGUAGGCGGUCUGUCGCGUCUGCUGUGAAAACUCGGGGCUUAACCCCGGGCCUGCAGUGGGUACGGGCAGACUAGAGUGCGGUAGGGGAGACUGGAAUUCCUGGUGUAGCGGUGAAAUGCGCAGAUAUCAGGAGGAACACCAGUGGCGAAGGCGACUUCCUGGCCUGUUCUUGACGCUGAGGCGCGAAAGCUAGGGUAGCAAACGGG
rnacentral:rRNA from 1 species